CUCUCACACCGUGCUGGGCACUGCUGAGUCCUGGAGCAGUUUCAGCCACUGUUCUGAUAGCCUAUCACAGCUGUCAAAUAGCUCGGUCAUUUCUCACGGCUAUCAGGGUUCCUGUUAUAUCUGGCUCAGUCGCUAAUUUGUAAAGUCUAAUCUGUUUGGUUCCUGCGUUAGAAACGAAGCAAAGUGGAACUUGUGCAAGACGCACAGAGAGAAACGGGAAAAAAGAAAAUCAAGCCAGGAACAACACAAGGGUGGAAAUGUUGAGAAAACACAACAGCAUUCCAGAGCACAAUCUGGGUAUAGGUAGGACAUUCUACCGCCACAAUGAUGUUCAAGCUGGUAAUGUCCAAGGGCUUAUGAACUUGAAGUUUUGCAAGUGUU
rnacentral:lncRNA from 1 species